rnacentral:tRNA from 1 species
GAUUACAUAGUUUAAUGGUUAGAACACUACCAAUCUAGGUAGAGAUUCAGGUUCGACUCCUGGUGUAAUCCUA